UACGGGGGGGGCAAGCGUUGUUCGGAAUUACUGGGCGUAAAGGGCUCGUAGGCGGCCAACUAAGUCAGACGUGAAAUCCCCAGGCUCAACCUGGGAACUGCGUCUGAUACUGGAUGGCUUGAAUUCGGGAGAGGGAUGCAGAAUUCCAGGUGUAGCGGUGAAAUUCGUAGAUAUCGGGAGGAACACCGGUGGCGAAGGCGGCGACCUGGGUCGAUACUGACGCUGAGGUGCGAAAGCGUGGGGAGCAAACAGG
rnacentral:rRNA from 1 species